CGUGUGUAAGCGUCGUGAGGCGUUCAGCUUGGCAGUACUAAUUGGUCGAGGGCUUGUCCAA
rnacentral:rRNA from 1 species